AGAACGAACGCUGGCGGCAGGCCUAACACAUGCAAGUCGAACGCCCCGCAAGGGGAGUGGCAGACGGGUGAGUAACGCGUGGGAACAUACCUUUCGGUUCGGAAUAGCUCAGGGAAACUUGAAUUAAUACCGGAUACGUCCGCAAGGAGAAAGAUUUAUCGCCGAAAGAUUGGCCCGCGUCCGAUUAGCUAGUUGGUAAGGUAAUGGCUUACCAAGGCGACGAUCGGUAGCUGGUCUGAGAGGAUGAUCAGCCACACUGGGACUGAGACACGGCCCCAGACUCCUACGGGAGGCAGCAGUGGGGGAUAUUGGACAAUGGGCGCAAGCCUGAUCCAGCCAUGCCGCGUGAGUGAUGAAGGCCCUAGGGUUGUAAAGCUCUUUCGUCAGGGACGAUAAUGACGGUACCUGAAGAAGAAGCCCCGGCUAACUUCGUGCCAGCAGCCGC
rnacentral:rRNA from 1 species